GCCACCUUUUUUUCUUUUCUUUCUUGGAGAUAUUCCUUCAAGAGCUUCUGUUUUUUUUUGCCUGACUACUCUGCUGGUCUCUGGGCUUGAUCACAGGUGCUCAGAAGCCAAGGAAUGAGUCACCCAUUAGUCCGACAGCACACUGCAGUGCAUUUUGUCUCUGGUAUCCAGGAGCUCUUACUCUACUUUGGGCAAGUACAUAAGAGCUGAACAAAUGGCUAAAAAGUAUAAGAUGGAAGGAUUUAAGACUGAUCCAUGUUCCAGACAACCCAUGGACAUCAGUUUUGAGGCCACAGCUCCAGCUCUAAUGUAUAUGCCCACCCAGUCAGCUGGAUGGCAAAGGCAGCCACUAUCUGACAGCCUUCAGAGAACCCUGGGCUGGAAGGUGCCCGCUGCUCAGAGAAAAGCUCUGCAUAGACUGACCUGACUCUCAGCCCCUCUCCAAAAACAAAAAGAAAAAACAUCAUAAAAAGCUCCAGGGAGAUGUUUUGAAUGAUCUUCUCUCCAUGCUAAUGAUCUCGACAGGGUUCAUCUUUUAAAAGAAAGAUAAAGUAGUUAAAUAAAGACAAAAAUCUGUUUCUACAUGUGCAUAUU